AGUUUCUGUUCAUGUGACCCGUGGACUUCCCUUUGUCAUCCUAUGCCUGAGAAUAUAUGAAGGGGGCUGGGAAGGCAAAGGGACGUUCAACUGUCAUCACUGGC
rnacentral:pre_miRNA from 8 species